rnacentral:rRNA from 1 species
GACGAACGCUGGCGGCGUGCUUAACACAUGCAAGUCGAACGGAAAGGCCCUGCUUUUGUGGGGUGCUCGAGUGGCGAACGGGUGAGUAACACGUGAGUAACCUGCCCUUGACUUUGGGAUAACUUCAGGAAACUGGGGCUAAUAUCGGAUAGGAGCUCCUGCUGCAUGGUGGGGGUUGGAAAGUUUCGGCGGUUGGGGAUGGACUCGCGGCUUACCAGCUUGUUGGUGGGGUAGUGGCUGACCAAGGCUUUGACGGGUAGCCGGCAUGAGAGGGUGACCGGCCACAUUGGGACUGAGAUACGGCCCAGACUCCUACGGGAGGCAGCAGUGGGGAAUAUUGCACAGUGGGCGGAAGCCUGAUGCAGCAACGCCGCGUGCGGGAUGACGGCCUUCGGGUUGUGAACCGCUUUCGCCUGUGACGAAGCGUGAGUGACGGUAAUGGGUAAAGAAGCACCGGCUAACUACGUG